rnacentral:lncRNA from 1 species
CCACCAUGAGUGAGCCCCAUCUGAAGCAGCACCUGCCAGGAAACAACUGUUUUUGGAGAUCUCAAUGUGACAUCCUAGGAAACAGAUGAGCUGAAGAAAGACUGUCAUUUUAUCUGGCAGGACACCUUCAAGGUAGGCCAUAAAAUUUUGUGAGAGAUAUAAGCAAAGGUGUAUGGAUUAGGAACUCUGCUAUUUUUUAAAAACUCUAUUUCUUGUAUUAUAUUGUCUUGCUUUGAAGUCUUUUCUAUUUCUACCAGUUAAAUUAAAAUCCUGGCAUCUAUAAUAUUCCCAAGGUAUCUUCAAGUAUUGGGAGUAAUUUAUAAAAAACUGGGCUGGAAUGAUCUCUAAACUGCCAGUUAUUUUCUAAUAAAUGUCGUAUCUUUAAAGAAAUAAAAGGAAUUUGCAGAAAGGAAGAUUCUCAGUAUGAUAGUCAGGCUACUUUUUGUGGGAAAAAUUAGGUAAGAACAUCAACACUGGCUGUUACUUGCUCUAAGGAAGUAUAACGAUCAUAUUCUGAAAAUUUAUUGUAUUGGUAGUUCUAAUCCAGUGCUGUAAUUGGAGCAUAUGACUUUUCUUUAGUUGGAGACAGUGUCCUUAAGUAAUCAAAAAGAAUAUUCUUUAAUUUUCAUAAGAAAUUUUGAAGAUUUUUUAAAGAUGGGGUAUGGGAUUAAGAGAUACAUACUACAAAGUAUAAAAUAGAUAAUCAAUAAAGAUAUACUGUACAGCAUAGAGAAAUUGUUUUGCAAUAGCUUUAAAUGGAAUAUAAUCUAUUUAAAAUAUUGAAUCACAGUGUUGUUCACCUGAAACUAGUAUAAUAUUGUUAAUCAAUUUUACUUCAACAUAUUAAAAUGUAGAAAAAAUAAAAUAAAGAAUCCAGCUUUGUUCAAUUAUUUUAUGUGCUUACCUAUGCAUGAUCAAGGUAUAAUAUCUUGCUUAAUAGCCGAUUAACCUUGACAAUGAGUGUCAGUAGAGUACAUUUCAUACUUUGUUGAUUCUUCACUCUGGAAACAUCGGCUAUUUUUCAGUUUCCUGCAGUGUAUGUGUUCACUCACACAACUAUAUAAUAAGGAUUUAUACAUAUAUUUUAAAAACAACUUAAAAAUAUCUUUUCCUAAAAAAAACUUUGAGAGUAGAAUGGAACAGUGCCUUAUGUCAAGUUUACAAAUGAGGAAAUUGAAGUUAGACAAAUUCAAGCAACUCAUGGAAGCCCACGUGUGUAAUUAUGUCUGUCUGAGGCCCAGAAACCAGUGCUAAUGACUUCUGAUGCAAGGGCAAUAACCUUCUUUCUUUCAGUCAGGAAUAGGAGAGUUGAUGAAACAGUUUGUCAGUAAUGGAUAUAACCUUGUAGCAAUGUUUCAUUGCCAUCAACAGAAAAAAAAGGAACAGAAAAAAAGAAAUAGAAAAUAUUAUUUUUUUCAUGGAAAUUUACAAGUCUUUCUUGUUGCUUGUUGUCAUCUUUCUUUAAUAGACAUAUAGUUACUCUAUGAGGUUUUGUCUUAAGCGUCUGAGUCAGUUGAGGGAUUGGCUGAGUCCUUCCUGUCUUUGAUUUUGCACUAUUUCAAGAACAAGGGGUAGACCUACUUCAUGUUCUGAAAGCAAAGCCGCCAAAAAGAUCAGAAAUUAAGUGAACUUCUCCAGGGAAUAAUCGAAAAUGAUUGACUUUCCAGCAUUUCUAUCUUUCUAUUCAAAUUAUAAGUUUUUUUGAUUAUAAUUUUACUCAUACAAUCAUUAAAAGAGUGAGAGCAGAGUAGGUGUUGUAUGUACAUUUAUAUUAAAGGAUAUGAGGAACAGAAAAACGAAUAGAGUUCACAUUCUAAUAUUUUUUCUUUUCUUUUUAUGGCUAUACCUGUGGCAUGUGGAAGUUCUCAGGCUAGGGAUAUAAUCAGAGCUGUUGCUGCCAGCCUACACCACAUCCAUAACAAUGCCAGAUCCGAGCCGUGUCUGCAACCUACACCACAGCUCAUGGCAACGCUGGAUCCUUAACCCACUGAGCAAGGCCAGGGAUCAAACCCACAUCCUCGUGGAUACUAGUUGGAUUCUUAACUGGCUGAGUCACAAUGGGAACUCCACACUCUAAUAUUUGUUACCCUUCAUUUGAAACAAACUGAUGCUGUAUUUUCUUUCUCUAAGAUUUUUUUCCAGAUGGCCAAUAAAGCCCAUUAUCGAAAUUAUAAUAGAAGAAAAUGAAAACAUAGUAAUGAUUUUAAUCUAAUCACAAACAAAAACAGAAACAGAGAAUUCCCCCAAAUUUGAAGUUCAUCAAAGAUAUCAGUACUAAAUCUGGGAAAAACCUCAGGAUUUCUGACUUCUAACUCACCCUUACCCAGAAGGCAAAAUUUAUUUCCUGAAAUAUUAGUAAAAAUGCUCACUGGUUCCUAAAUAGCAACUUAAAUAAAACCCAGCACUUUGCAGGCACAUAUAGAAAAUUAGUUUUGCUUAGAAAAGUUCCCUUGAAAUAAACAAUCAGAAAGGGAAAUGGUGCCUGUUUGCAAGGCUGAUAGCAGAGGAGGAAAUGGUGUUGCAUUACCUGGAACACUCUUGGGAGGUCUCUGGGAAUGAAGGGAAUGAUGACCAUUUGGGUUUGAUUUUAAGAGUCUAUUGUCUGAUGAGGAUAUUGGGUUCUGUGAUUGAUUCCCCUGGAAAAAAGCCUUAGUCUCGACAUCCUGGAGCCACUGGUUUUUCCACAUUUCUUCUUAGAGCUGCUCAGCUAAGGGGUCAGCCUCAGUUUGGUCGCCUUGUAUUUCCCUUUGCAACCAAGUUCACAGUCAUUAAGAAAUGUAAGAGAAUUAAGGGCAUUGCAUUUAGACAGCAAAGCCAGCUUCCAGAUCUACUUUUAACUUUCCAAUUAAUCAGGACAUUGUUGACAUUGAAAUGGCAUUUGCUACCUCUUCUAAGUAACAAAGUGAAAACACUACUGAAGAAAUCGGGAGAUGCUAAGAGUUCCAGUCUGCAAGUUGUCCAGUGUGACUGGAAAUCCUGACAAUCCAUACAAAGCACUGAUUUUGCUUGAAAACGAUUUAGCCAUUUCUAGUUGCUUCUGCUCUUCCACAGGUUUUGUGAGGCACCCUUCCCUUUCUAUUCAAGUGAUGGGGCAGCUCUGAGUUCAGGCAAGUCUGUUCUAGCUGAUUCGCUGCCAGGGAUACAGUUGGAUAAGUUCUGAGGGUUCCAGCCCUUUGGGUCCAUUACUGAAGAAAAAUCCUGCUUUUUUUUUUUUUUGAGUUCAAAGUCAUACAGAUGCCCUUGGAUAGACAUCAGAUAAGCAGGAAUCAAAUCUGAGGAACUUUUGAAGUUUGCUCGUAAGUCUAUGCAAAGAAAAAAGAAAAAAGUCAAUUUCCAUAUGAAAUUGGGUGUCCCUUUGCAGCCAUGUUGAGGUGAAAAUCUUGUGUCUGGCAUAUUUCAAGCUGUCAAUCUUUGUGACUCCCUGAGAAGAACUUAGUAGUUGUGCCCCAGAAAUGGGUGGAGAGGGGGGACUUUACCCCACAUAAUGAAAGCCCUUUGUAGGAGGACCUUUCAUAACAGAAUUUCAAAGUCUUUAAAGCCCAGCACCUCCACUGCUAAUUGCCAGGCAAGGCAUUACUGUCAGAAACUCUUUAAAAGGUUUUUAAAUGAUGGUGUGAGGAAAUAAAGCCCUGUCAUCUGAAAGCUUUUUUCAGAUGUGCUGUCUUCCCUAUGCUGGAAAUAGCGGUCUGGACUUAGCAAGUAAUGAGACUGUGAAUGGCUGGUGAGUGUUUGAUGCUAGAGGAAGGAACAAUGAAUCAGGGCUAAAGUGAACAGGGCUUUCUUUGCAUUGUGUGUAGAUUGCAUUAAAGUGAAAAAGAAGACUUCUGUAGAGAGCACCACCAAGACUAGAAAUCGGAAGUCAGCUCUCUACUCAUUUCUUUGCUCCCCUACUCCAAGCAACUGAACAACUAAAGAGAAAGCAAAGGAUGGUAUGACCUCUUAAGGAAAAUAUAUAAUAUAUAGAAAAGAGAGCUCUUGAUAAUAGGGAAAAAUAUUUGUGCGUCUAUUCUAGACUAGUCAUUUGAAUGAUAUACCAUUAUGAAUUUUUAUAAAGUAAUUUUUCAUGGUGCAUUUUUUGUUUGUUUUAGUUUCUUUUUAAAUUUAGUAUUCAAAUAGCAGCUAAAGGAUUGGGGUCCUGAAUCAGUUACCCCAAUAAAUUAUCCAUCCAAAGAUUCCAGAAGAUCCAAAUAUAUUUUGUUAUCAUUUACUUAUCAUGAAGACAAACUCCUCCUCCUUUUUUUUUUUCUUCUUAUUUUGCCACACCUCUUCCUUAGACCAGGAAUCAAACCCAUGCCAUGGCAGUGACCCGAGCCUCAGCAGUGACAACACUGGAUCUCUAAUCUGCUGAGCCCCAGGAGAACUCUAAACUUUUCCUGUUAAUAAACAUUAUCUCCCAGGACACUCAAAGUUUUGUUCUUGGUAUGGCACCAUUUCUUAUCUUGUGAUCUAGUUUGAAUCACCACCCAGAGAAUUGAAGGGUGGUCCAUCACAGAGCAGAAGGUGAUAAUGUUUUGAAAUAUGUCUUAUUCUAAGGCAGAUACAGACACUGAUGGGUAUGCUAUUCCAAAGUAGUGUUAAUUAUUUAAUCUAUUCAUAAUGAUCCAUUAUUUCUUAUAAAUUACAAUUUCUGUUUUAUGCAGACUAUUAGAUAUUGCUAAUGGUUUUUCCUUUGGGAAACUGUAACAUAGUAAGACAUUUAUUGUGUUUAUUACUUAUAACCCAACUGUCUCAAAAAUAUCUUUGAUGCAACGUAACAGAAAACAGUAAUGACAAUAAAAACAAUAAUGACAUUCAAACAGAAAAAAUAUUGAGUUCCCGUUGUGGCUCAGUGGUUAAUGAACCUGACUAGUAUCCAUGAGGAUGCAGGUUCAAUCCCUGGCCUCGCUCAGUGGGUUAAGAAUCUGGCAUUGCCAUGAGCUGUGGGGUAGGUCGCAGAUGAGGCUUGGAUCCCCUGCGUUGCUGUUGCUGUAGCAAAGGCAGGCAGCUAUAGCUCUGAUUUGACCCCUAGCUUGGGAACCUCCAUAUGCUG